GACGAACGCUGGCGGCGUGCUUAACACAUGCAAGUCGAACGAUGAACCAGGGCUUGCCCUGGGGAUUAGUGGCGAACGGGUGAGUAACACGUGGGCAACCUGCCCCAGACACCGGGAUAACCUCUCGAAAGAGUGGCUAAUACCGGAUAUGACCACUUUGGGCAUCCAACGGUGGUGGAAAGGAUUCUGGUCUGGGAUGGGCCCGCGGCCUAUCAGCUUGUUGGUGGGGUAAUGGCCUACCAAGGCGACGACGGGUAGCCGGCCUGAGAGGGGGACCGGCCACACUGGGACUGAGACACGGCCCAGACUCCUACGGGGGGCAGAAGUGGGGAAUAUUGCGCAAAGGGCGAAAGCCUGACGCAGCGACGCCGCGUGAGGGACGAAGGUCUUCGGAUUGUAAACCUCUUUCAGCAGGGACGAAGCGAAAGUGACUGUACCUGCAGAAGAAGCACCGGCUAACUACGUGCCAGCCGCCGCCGUAAAAC
rnacentral:rRNA from 1 species